rnacentral:rRNA from 1 species
UACGGGGGGGGCAAGCGUUGUUCGGAAUUACUGGGCGUAAAGGGCUCGUAGGUGGCCAACUAAGUCAGACGUGAAAUCCCCAGGCUCAACUUGGGAACUGCGUCUGAUACUGGAUGGCUUGAAUUCGGGAGAGGGAUGCAGAAUUCCAGGUGUAGCGGUGAAAUGCGUAGAUAUCUGGAGGAAUACCGGUGGCGAAGGCGGCAUCCUGGGUCAAGACUGACGCUCAUGCACGAAAGCGUGGGGAGCAAACAGG